rnacentral:lncRNA from 1 species
GCCUUUGCUCAGGUCCUGCUGUGCUGCAGCUCUUUGCAUGCACAAGGCUGAGCACACUCCUAGAUGAUCUAAUCCAAUAAACAGACAUUGCUCCAGCCACAGCAGAGCUCUUCUUCCCAACGUGGGGAAUGUAGCCAACUCCACAGCUUAGGUCUCUGCCUGUCAGCAACAUUUUACUUCUCUCUGAUCACAUCGAUCUAAUCCAAUAAACAGACAUUGCUCCAGCCACAGCAGAGCUCUUCUUCCCAACACGGGGCAUCUAGCCAACUCUACAGCUUAGGUCUCUGCCUGCCAGCAACAUUUUACUUCUCUCUGAUCACAUCCUAUUGGUUUUGCAGUUCAGUGUAAGGGACAAUCUCACCGCUACUCAGAUCGCCCACGUGUUUUUUGACCCUGGAGUCUUGGAUGAUACCAGCAUGGUUGAAACCCUCCUGGUCUCCCUGGAGAGCAAGCCAGCUCUGGACAUCUCUGCCUUUGUUGCUGAAUUUGUGGCCACUGCUUCUCAGGAAGGCUUAUCAUCCCUGGUAAAUGUGCAAGUCAGAGAUGCCAUGUUCAGUGCAAUCUUUCACAAACUCCAAGACCAGUUCCCCACUUUUAGCAUCUCCCAGUACAAGGACUGGUUCCAGAACAAGCUCAGUCUGUGGCUGGGCAGCAUAAAUGCCUCUGCUCUUGCAGCUAUCCCAAGGAACAUACCUUGUAGAAUAUACCAAAUUAUAAUGAGUGGCUUAGAGGGCAGCUUCCAACAGAUGUCCCCUGCCAGCCACCAGGACGUUUACAGCUUUGCAAAGAGCUACCUGUCUGCUAAGGCUUCUCAGGAAGGUGGCCCAUGCAUUGAGAACACCAGGGGAAGCUUGGGUUGGCUACAAACAAAUCUGGGCUCCUUCAGCUCCUUGGCUACAUACAGAGACCUGGCCGACAUGAAUGCAGACUUCAGCAUCGUAAGUAACUCUGCAAGACAGAGCCCUGUCAAGGCUCAAAUCCCACCUGACAGCCUUUCACAGCCAGCAAACACUCCUGCCCUCAGGC